rnacentral:rRNA from 1 species
GUGGGGAAUCUUGCGCAAUGGGCGAAAGCCUGACGCAGCCAUGCCGCGUGAAUGAUGAAGGUCUUAGGAUUGUAAAAUUCUUUCACCGGGGACGAUAAUGACGGUACCCGGAGAAGAAGCUCCGGCUAACUUCGUGCCAGCAGUCGCGGUAAUACGAAGGGGGCUAGCGUUGCUCGGAAUUACUGGGCGUAAAGGGCGCGUAGGCGGACAGCUUAGUCAGAGGUGAAAGCCCAGGGCUCAACCUUGGAAUUGCCUUUGAUACUGGCUGUCUUGAGUUUGGGAGAGGUGAGUGGAACUCCGAGUGUAGAGGUGAAAUUCGUAGAUAUUCGGAAGAACACCAGUGGCGAAGGCGACUCACUGGCCCAAUACUGACGCUGAGGCGCGAAAGCGUGGGGAGCAAACAGGAUUAGAAACCCCAGUAGUCC